rnacentral:rRNA from 1 species
UACGGGGGGGGCAAGCGUUGUUCGGAAUUACUGGGCGUAAAGGGCUCGUAGGCGGCCAACUAAGUCAGACGUGAAAUCCCUCGGCUUAACCGGGGAACUGCGUCUGAUACUGGAUGGCUUGAAUCCGGGAGAGGGAUGCGGAAUUCCAGGUGUAGCGGUGAAAUGCGUAGAUAUCUGGAGGAACACCGGUGGCGAAGGCGGCAUCCUGGACCGGCAUUGACGCUGAGGAGCGAAAGCCAGGGAGCAAAGCGGA